GAAAGACUGUUUUAAGUUCAAGACUUGGUUGGAAAAGAAGAAGAGUUCUUCAGGGGUUCAUAAGUAAACGGAGGCCAAGUGAAAAUGAAGUAAGCUUGAGCGUUGCAAAUGGAUUCCAAGUGAAGGUUGAAUUCAUAGGAGUAGUGAAAUUAACUUUAGAGUCUGGUUUUUAU